rnacentral:rRNA from 1 species
AUUGAACGCUGGCGGCAGGCCUAACACAUGCAAGUCGAGCGGAUGAAGGGAGCUUGCUCCUGGAUUCAGCGGCGGACGGGUGAGUAAUGCCUAGGAAUCUGCCUGGUAGUGGGGGAUAACGUCCGGAAACGGGCGCUAAUACCGCAUACGUCCUGAGGGAGAAAGUGGGGGAUCUUCGGACCUCACGCUAUCAGAUGAGCCUAGGUCGGAUUAGCUAGUUGGUGGGGUAAAGGCCUACCAAGGCGACGAUCCGUAACUGGUCUGAGAGGAUGAUCAGUCACACUGGAACUGAGGCACGGUCCAGACUCCUACGGGAGGCAGCAGUGGGGAAUAUUGGACAAUGGGCGAAAGCCUGAUCCAGCCAUGCCGCGUGUGUGAAGAAGGUCUUCGGAUUGUAAAGCACUUUAAGUUGGGAGGAAGGGCAGUAAGAUAAUACCUUGCUGUUUUGACGUUACCAACAGAAUAAGCACCGGCUAACUUCGUG